rnacentral:rRNA from 1 species
AACGCACCUUGCGCUCCUUGGUAUUCCGAGGAGCAUGCCUGUUUGAGUGUCAUUAAAUUCUCAACCUUUGUUAACUUUUUGGUUAGCAAAUGGCUUGGAUGUGGGGGUAUGCAGGUUUCUCUAUUGAAAUUAGCUCCCCUGAAAUACAUUAGCUGGUUGCCUUGUGUAAACUUGUCUAUUGGUGUGAUAAUUAUCUACGCCGUUAGAUGUCUGCUUUAAAUAAUGGGGAUGCGCUGCUUCUAAUCGUCCACUUAGGACAAUUAUUGACUAUUUGACCUCAAAUCAGGUAGGACUACCCGCUGAACUUAA